UACGAAGGGUGCUAGCGUUGUUCGGAAUUACUGGGCGUAAAGCGCGCGUAGGCGGCUUAUCAAGUCAGAGGUGAAAUCCCCAGGCUCAACCUGGGAAUUGCCUUUGAAACUGAUAAGCUAGAGUGUCGGAGGGGAUAGCGGAAUUGCUAAUGUAGAGGUGAAAUUCGUAGAUAUUAGCAGGAACACCGGUGGCGAAGGCGGCUAUCUGGACGACAACUGACGCUGAGGCGCGAAAGCACGGGGAUCAAACAGG
rnacentral:rRNA from 1 species